rnacentral:rRNA from 1 species
UAGCAUAUCAAUAGCGGAGGAAAAGAAAAUAACAAUGAUUCCCCUAGUAACGGCGAGUGAAGAGGGAAAAGCUCAAGUUUGGAAGCUUCGUGGCAUAGCUACGACGCGUUGUAAACUGAAGUUUUUUGGGUGAUUGGGCGACCGGAUAAAUAAGUCCUUUGGAAAGGGGCAACAUAGAGGGUGACAUUCCCGUCUUUGGUCCGAGUCAGUGCAGUCGCUGCCCAGGAAACGACGAGUCAGGUUGUUUGGGAAUGCAGCCUAAAAUGGGAGGUAAAUCUCUCCUAAAGCUAAAUACUGGCGUAAGACCGAUAGCGAACAAGUACCGUGAGGGAAAGAUGAAAAGGACUUUGAAAAGAGGGUCAAAUAGUACGUGAAAUUGUUGAAAGGGAACCGUAUGAAAGUAGACUGGCUUGGUGAUGAUCAAUGUGUGUUUCGGCACGCAUGCACUCAUUGCCUUUGCCAGCCAGCGGCAGUUUUUGCUAAAGGAAGAAAAUCAGGGGAAUGUAGCUUCGAUUUCGGUUGAAGUGUUAUAGCUCCUGGUAAAAUACUUUGGCAGAGACUGAGGCUAGCAGCGGAUCUUUGGGAACUUUGCGCGCUUGUCGUCCAAUGGUUAAGUUUUCUUCGGAUGCUUGGUCAUUGGGUGGCAACUCGUGUGAUGCUUCACCCUUCCGCUUAGGUCGCUGGCGUAAUGCUUUUAUAUGACCCGUCUUGAAACACGGACCAAGGAGUCCACGUAUAGAGCGAGUCGUUGGGUGGCAAACCCAAAGGCGAAGUGAAAGCGAUUGGGAAGAAACUGUUACAGGUGGCACUCCCGGGGGGAUAUGACGUUUUAUACAGAUUGACCUCACCCAAAGCUCUAUGCAUGGGACCCGAAAGAUGGUGAACUAUACUUGAAUAGGGUGAAGCCAGAGGAAACUCUGGUGGAGGCUCGUAGCGAUUCUGACGUGCAAAUCGAUCGUCGAAUUUGAGUAUAGGGCGAAAGACUAAUCGAACCAUCUAGUAGCUGGUUCCUGCC